rnacentral:rRNA from 1 species
UACGAAGGGGGCUAGCGUUGCUCGGAAUCACUGGGCGUAAAGGGUGCGUAGGCGGGUCUUUAAGUCGAGGGGUGAAAUCCUGGAGCUCAACUCCAGAACUGCCUUUGAUACUGAAGAUCUUGAGUUCGGGAGAGGUGAGUGGAACUGCGAGUGUAGAGGUGAAAUUCGUAGAUAUUCGCAAGAACACCAGUGGCGAAGGCGGCUCACUGGCCCGAUACUGACGCUGAGGCACGAAAGCGUGGGGAGCA